rnacentral:rRNA from 1 species
UUGACCUCAAAUCAGGUAGGAUUACCCGCUGAACUUAAGCAUAUCAAUAAGCGGAGGAAAAGAAACCAACAGGGAUUACCUUAGUAACGGCGAGUGAAGCGGUAAAAGCUCAAAUUUGAAAUCUAGCACUUUCAGUGUUCGAGUUGUAAUUUGAAGAAGGUAUCUUUGGAGUUGGCCCCCGUCUAUGUUCCUUGGAACAGGACGUCACAGAGGGUGAGAAUCCCGUGCGAUGGGGAGACCAAUUCUAUGUAAAGUUCCUUCGAAGAGUCGAGUUGUUUGGGAAUGCAGCUCUAAGUGGGUGGUAAAUUCCAUCUAAAGCUAAAUAUUGGCGAGAGACCGAUAGCGAACAAGUACAGUGAUGGAAAGAUGAAAAGAACUUUGAAAAGAGAGUGAAAAAGUACGUGAAAUUGUUGAAAGGGAAGGGCUUUUGAUCAGACUUGGUGUUUAGUACUCUCUACUCCUUGUGGGUGGGGCUCUUGCUUUAUACUGGGCCAGCAUCGGUUUGGAUGGUAGGAUAAUAGCAUUGGAAUGUGGCUUCAUUCGUGAAGUGUUAUAGCCCUUGUUGAUACUACCUAUCUAGACCGAGGACUGCGUCUUUUGACUAGGAUGC